rnacentral:lncRNA from 1 species
ACUUGGACCUAGCAGCAUCAAUGAGCCAGCUCCUCACUGGGGAACAUGCAAACCCCCAGCUGCUGGUGUGCAGGAAAAGAAUCCAGGAGAUCACCUGAUGAAGCCCAGCAUUUUACAGGCAGUGGAGCAGGGGAAUCCAGUUGACACUGUGGCUAAAUUUCAGAAAACCUCCCAUGAGAUCUUGCAAAGGAGAUGGAGAAAAUAUGGCUGAAUGCCAGCAAGGUAGGACGGAAGCAUGACUGCUCUAACAACCAAGCUCAAAGAGCACUGCUCACCCAAUGUUUCCUUCAUGACUAGAGCAAAGUGGUGAAAGGACCCUGGUGAGAGGCCCAAAGAACAGGAGGUGUGAGCCAAGAGAAGGUCCUGCCAGGCCUAUGUUGCAGGCUAUUUGGAGGCUGAACUUGAGAGUGGCUGUGAGAGGAAAUUCAGAAGUAUCUUUGGAAGCAUUUUGUUAAUUUUGAGAUGCUGGGGACAUCAUCAAAAUGAAAAACUUUUGUGCCUCAAAGAACACCAUCAAGAAACUGAAAAGACAACCCAAGAAGACAAAAUUUGCAAAUCUUAUAUCUGAUAUAAUAUAGAAUAUAUAAAUAAAUAUAUAUAUACACAUAUCUAUAACAUAUAAAGAAUUCUUACAAUUUAAAAAUCAAAGUAAAAUAAACCAAUUUAAAAAUAAACAAAAGAACUGAACAAAUGUUUCUCCAAAGAAGAUAUAUAAAUGGCCAAUAAGCUCAUGGAAAGAUGAUUGACAUCAUUAGUCCUCAGGGAAAGCCAAAUCCAAACCACAAUGAGAUACCACUUUAUACCCACUAAGAUGGCUACAAUCAAAAGGCCAGAAAAUAACAAGUAUUGGCAAGGAUGUGGAGCAAUCAGAACCUUAAUACAAUGGUGGUGGGGAUGUAUAAUGGUGCAGCCACUUU